rnacentral:rRNA from 2 species
GACGAACCGUGCAAACGUUGUUCGGAAUCACUGGGCUUAAAGGGCGCGUAGGCGGGCGAGUAAGUCUGGGGUGAAAUCUUUCGGCUCAACCGGAAAAGUGCCUCGGAUACUGCUCGUCUGGAGGGAGGUAGGGGCAUGUGGAACUUCUGGUGGAGCGGUGAAAUGCGUUGAUAUCAGAAGGAACGCCGGUGGCGAAAGCGACGUGCUGGACCUCUUCUGACGCUGAUGCGCGAAAGCUAGGGGAGCAAACGGG